UCCAUUAUCGUCUAGUGGCUAGGAUGCGACCAAAACUAAAAAGGUUUGGGUUGGAUGGGUUGGAAGAACUAAUCGGUCGAGACCGGGGUUCAAUUCCUCGUAAUGGAG
rnacentral:tRNA from 1 species